rnacentral:rRNA from 1 species
CCUACGGGAGGCAGCAGUGGGGAAUAUUGGGCAAUGGGCGCAAGCCUGACCCAGCAACGCCGCGUGAAGGAAGAAGGCUUUCGGGUUGUAAACUUCUUUUAAGGGGGAAGAGCAGAAGACGGUACCCCUUGAAUAAGCCACGGCUAACUACGUGCCAGCAGCCGCGGUAAUACGUAGGUGGCAAGCGUUGUCCGGAUUUACUGGGUGUAAAGGGCGUGCAGCCGGAGAGACAAGUCAGAUGUGAAAUCCACGGGCUCAACCCGUGAACUGCAUUUGAAACUGUUUCCCUUGAGUGUCGGAGAGGUGAUCGGAAUUCCUUGUGUAGCGGUGAAAUGCGUAGAUAUAAGGAAGAACACCAGUGGCGAAGGCGGAUUACUGGACGAUAACUGACGGUGAGGCGCGAAAGCGUGGGGAGCAAACAGGAUUAGAUACCCCUGUAGUC